rnacentral:rRNA from 1 species
ACGCUCGACACCUACGGAAGGCAGCAGUGGGGAAUAUUGCACAAUGGGGGAAACCCUGAUGCAGCGACGCCGCGUGAAGGAAGAAGUAUCUCGGUAUGUAAACUUCUAUCAGCAGGGAAGAAAAUGACGGUACCUGACUAAGAAGCCCCGGCUAACUACGUACCAGCAGCCGCGGUAAUCUGAGCGGGCGUGGCAAGGGGC